rnacentral:rRNA from 1 species
UGGCGGCAGGCUUAACACAUGCAAGUCGAACGAACGUAGCAAUACGUUAGUGGCGCACGGGUGAGUAACGCGUGGAUAUCUGCCUUUUGGUUCGGGAUAACCUUGGGAGACUAGGGCUAAUACCGAAUGGUUCCUACGGGAUAAAGAUUUAUCGCCAAAAGAUGAGUCCGCGUCCGAUUAGCUAGUUGGUGUGGUAAUGGCGCACCAAGGCGACGAUCGGUAGCUGGUCUGAGAGGACGAUCAGCCACACUGGGACUGAGACACGGCCCAGGCUCCUACGGGAGGCAGCAGUGGGGAAUAUUGGACAAUGGGGGCAACCCUGAUCCAGCCAUGCCGCGUGAGUGAUGAAGGCCUUCGGGUUGUAAAGCUCUUUUGGCGGGGACGAUGAUGACGGUACCCGCAGAAUAAGCCCCGGCUAACUUCGUGCCAGCAGCCGCGGUAAGACGAAGGGGGCAAGCGUUGUUCGGAAUUACUGGGCGUAAAGCGAGUGUAGGUGGUUGUCAUAGUCAGGCGUGAAAGCCUUGAGCUCAACUCAAGAAAUGCGCUUGAUACUGGGCAGCUAGAGGACCGGAGAGGAUAGUGGAAUUCCCAGUGUAGUGGUGAAAUACGUAGAGAUUGGGAAGAACACCAGUGGCGAAGGCGGCUAUCUGGACGGUUUCUGACACUAAGACUCGAAAGCGUGGGGAGCAAACAGGAUUAGAUACCCUGGUAGUCCACGCCGUAAACGAUGGGUGCUAGACGUUGGCGAGCUUGCUCGUCAGUGUCGCAGCUAACGCGUUAAGCACCCGCCUGGGGAGUACGGCCGCAA